rnacentral:rRNA from 1 species
UGAGGAAUAUUGGUCAAUGGGCGCAAGCCUGAACCAGCCAUCCCGCGUGCAGGAUGACGGCCCUAUGGGUUGUAAACUGCUUUUAUACACCAAGAAAAAUCCGAACGUGUUCGGACCCGACGGUAGUGUAUGAAUAAGCAUCGGCUAACUCCGUGCCAGCAGCCGCGGUAAUACGGAGGAUGCAAGCGUUAUCCGGAUUCAUUGGGUUUAAAGGGUGCGUAGGCGGCUUUUUAAGUCAGUGGUGAAAUCCUGUCGCUUAACGAUAGAAUUGCCAUUGAUACUGAUAAGCUUGAGUCCAGUUGAGGUAAGCGGAAUGUGUAGUGUAGCGGUGAAAUGCUUAGAUAUUACACAGAACACCGAUUGCGAAGGCAGCUUACUAAACUGGUACUGACGCUGAUGCACGAAAGCGUGGGGAGCGAACA